UACGUAGGCAGCAAGCGUUGUUCGGAUUUACUGGGCGUAAAGAGUACGUAGGCGGUUUGCCAAGUUUGGUGUGAAAUCUCCUGGCUUAACUGGGAGGGUGCGCCGAAUACUGGCGGGCUUGAGUAUUGGAGAGGAAAGCGGAAUUCCUGGUGUAGCGGUGAAAUGCGUAGAUAUCAGGAGGAACACCGGUGGCGAAGGCGGCUUCCUGGACCGACACUGACGCUGAGGCGCGAAAGCUAGGGGAGCAAACGGG
rnacentral:rRNA from 1 species